rnacentral:rRNA from 1 species
AUUGAACGCUGGCGGCAUGCCUUACACAUGCAAGUCGAACGGUAACGGGCCUUCGGGUGCCGACGAGUGGCGAACGGGGUGAGUAAUGCAUCGGAACGUACCUUUCAGUGGGGGAUAACGUAGCGAAAGUUACGCUAAUACCGCAUAUUCUGUGAGCAGGAAAGCAGGGGAUCGCAAGACCUUGCGCUGAUUGAGCGGCCGAUGUCAGAUUAGCUAGUUGGUGAGGUAAAGGCUCACCAAGGCGACGAUCUGUAGCGGGUCUGAGAGGAUGAUCCGCCACACUGGAACUGAGACACGGUCCAGACUCCUACGGGAGGCAGCAGUGGGGAAUUUUGGACAAUGGGGGCAACCCUGAUCCAGCCAUGCCGCGUGAGUGAAG